rnacentral:rRNA from 1 species
AGCGGUGGAGCAUGUGGUUUAAUUCGAUGCAACGCGAAGAACCUUACCUACUCUUGACAUCCAGAGAACUUUCCAGAGAUGGAUUGGUGCCUUCGGGAACUCUGAGACAGGUGCUGCAUGGCUGUCGUCAGCUCGUGUUGUGAAAUGUUGGGUUAAGUCCCGCAACGAGCGCAACCCUUAUCCUUUGUUGCCAGCGGUUAGGCCGGGAACUCAAAGGAGACUGCCAGUGAUAAACUGGAGGAAGGUGGGGAUGACGUCAAGUCAUCAUGGCCCUUACGAGUAGGGCUACACACGUGCUACAAUGGCGCAUACAAAGAGAAGCGACCUCGCGAGAGCAAGCGGACCUCAUAAAGUGCGUCGUAGUCCGGAUUGGAGUCUGCAACUCGACUCCAUGAAGUCGGAAUCGCUAGUACUCGUAGAUCAGAAUGCUACGGUGAAUACGUUCCCGGG